AUCACAACUCGUCCAGCAUCAGUUGCAGCGAUAACCAAAAAUGUUCCAGAUUUUUUCUCUUUGCUUGCGUCUUGGCUGUGAUGGCCGUCGUCUACACCAACUCGGCACCCACUGAAGAUGAACCCGCUAAUUCCGACGAGCCGGGAGACCAGUUCUUGUUCUACUGUCGCUUGUUCAGUUCUUGCAGCAACAGCACCCAGUGCUCGAGCAAUGUGAUCUACAAGACCUGAAUUUUUCUUCGUCACGGGCAAUUGCCCGUGACGAAGAAAAAUUCCUCAUUCAAGUGUUUCUAGGUCUUGUCAAAAGAAUAACAUGUUUAUUGGUUAGGGAAUAUCAAAUAAACCUUUAAUUUUUCUAUUA
rnacentral:lncRNA from 1 species